CUACCCGAAUUCCGAACCAAAAUCCGAAUAUCUAGCUUAGAUAACGGUAUGUCUUUCUAGGAUGGUCAACGCAUUCUUAUAUUUAGCUCAUAUAUGAAAUGACCACAUGUAAAGUUGAUAUAUAUAUAUAUAUAUAUAUAUAAAGGGCCACAAUUUAAAGUUGUUAUCAGUCGGUUAACGUCAUAUAACGUCGUGUAAAUUUUGGCAUGGUCAAUGAUUAAAUUUGUAUGAAAUAGUCCAUCAACGAUUUUUACAUGUAUUAAAUAGUCACAUGCGAAGUUCACAUAUUAAAUGAUAUUUUUUGAAAAUUCGCGUAUUAAAAGAAAAGUUUCCCCAAUUAAUUGCAUUUAAACUU
rnacentral:sRNA from 1 species